rnacentral:sRNA from 1 species
AUGUGAAAGGCCAACCACGCAUGAAAGAUUCCCUAGAUGUCUGCAUCUAUGAAAAAGUAAUCUUUUAGGCGUUUUUUUUCUCUCCUGUUUUCCAAACUAAUAUAUGUAUUUACUAGGUAUACAUCGUUGGGAUAACUUGCGGAGACGCGGGAAUAGCUGUAAAGCUUACAUUUUCCACCACUCGUGCUGGAAAGAAUAUUGUAUGGGAAUAUUCACCAAGGCUAACCACCGGCACCAUCGUCGCACUGACCCCGGCAAAUGACAUGUUCAAAUCAAAAUGCAUUGUCGCUGUUGUUGCUGCUAGACCUCUGGACGGCUUGAAAAAGAAUCCAGCGGAAAUAGAUAUAUUCUAUACACGAGCUGAGGAUGCAGAGUUUGACCCCCAACUGGAGUUUGUGAUGAUAGAAGCCAGAAGCGGCUAUUAUGAGGCAUCGCGGCAUACAUUAACCGCGUUGCAAAAAAUGGCAAGGGAAGGCUUCCCAUUCUCGGAAUACUUGUGUGGUCUUCAGCCUAAUAUUGAACCCCCCGAAUACAUCAAGCUGAAUCCGUUCAUUGACAUGUCUGCUAUCGGUGAAGAGGGUGAAAAAAUGUAUGUUCUUAACAACUGGCCACCUCCUCCUGAAUCUCUGGAUUCUUCUCAGUGGAAUGCGCUACGCCAAAUUCUCACGAAGAGGUUGGCUAUCGUACAAGGUCCACCGGGAACCGGCAAAACUCAUGUCUCCGUCAUUGCAUUGAGGUUGCUCCUUGCAACCAUACCCUCCACUGAUCCACCCAUUAUCAUCGCGGCUCAGACAAAUCACGCACUGGACCAGUUGCUUCGCCAUGUUGCGUUGUUCGAAAUGAAUUAUGUUCGGCUUGGUGGAAGGAGCACGGAUAUGGACAUAAAGAAGCGGACU